AAGUUGUACAGAAUGGACAUUGGAGAACUCGGGGAUCACCUCUGGGCUCCCAGGGAAUUCUGAAGACACCUAGUAGGCUCUUUAGGUUGCUGUUGUCUGAACC
rnacentral:sRNA from 1 species